UGAGGAAUAUUGGUCAAUGGACGCAAGUCUGAACCAGCCAUGCCGCGUGCAGGAAGACGGCUCUAUGAGUUGUAAACUGCUUUUGUACGAGGGUAAAUGCAGGUACGUGUAUCUGUUUGAAAGUAUCGUACGAAUAAGGAUCGGCUAACUCCGUGCCAGCAGCCGCGGUAAUACGGAGGAUCCAAGCGUUAUCCGGAUUUAUUGGGUUUAAAGGGUGCGUAGGCGGUUUUAUAAGUUAGAGGUGAAAUCUCGGGGCUCAACUCCGAAAUUGCCUCUAAUACUGUAGGACUAGAGAGUAGUUGCGGUAGGCGGAAUGUAUGGUGUAGCGGUGAAAUGCUUAGAGAUCAUACAGAACACCGAUUGCGAAGGCAGCUUACCAAACUAUAUCUGACGUUGAGGC
rnacentral:rRNA from 1 species